rnacentral:lncRNA from 1 species
CACACAUUUUUCUCUUUCUGGGAAUUGGAGCAUCUCUCCACCCUCAGUCCUCCUCAUUUUCUCAGUAGAGAUGUCUAAAACAGUGAUUCUUAACCUUAAAAAACAGUUUCUACUUUUAUUGUUUUUUUGUGUGUGAUUUUGUAGGUGAGAGAAAGAAACCCUUGCCAUCCCUACAAAAACAGGUCACUGUGUGAUAUUUUUCUUCUUUUUUUAAUUUUUUUUUAAUUUUUUUUUUUUAUUUUCCCACUGUACAGCAAGGGGGUCAGGUUAUCCUUACAUGUAUACAUUACAAUUACAGUUUUCCCCCCACCCUUUCUUCUGUUAUAUUUUUCUGUUAAAAAUCUUAAGAUAAUUGGAGUUCCUGUUGUGGCUCAGUGAUUAAUGGACCUGACUAGCAUCCAUGAGGAUGCACGAUGGAUCUCUGGCCUUGCUCAGUGGGUUAAGGAUCUAGCAUUGCCCUGAGCCUGCGGUGUGUAGGUCACGGACAUGGCUCAGAUCCCACGUUGCUGUGGCUGUUGUGUAGGCCGGUGGCUACAGCUCCGAUUGGACCCCUAGCCUGGGAACCUCCAUAUGCCGGGGAUGCGGCCCUAAAAAAAAAAAAAAAAAUUAAGAUAAUCACUUUUAAGAACUUCAUAACCCUCCUUGAGAUUGGAAUCUAGGGUGUACUUUCUUCUUGGGGAACUCAAUUCAUCAGACUAAGGGAUUAUGUGACAGGUGGAAACCGCUUCCCUGAUGCCUUACCCCACCCCUAAAAUGCUGUCCCAGCCCGACUAUAGAGGGAAGCGAGGAGCAGGGACUAGAUCUCUCAUCUCCUUUUACAUCGCUCCACGUUUCUUUCACUUAUUGAGGGUCUGAGGGUUUGGAUCAGAGAAGAGGUUUUCUUGUUUGGAUUAAGGAGCUGGGUCAGGCAUGGUUAAGAAUGAAGUUGCAAGCUAGGAUAGAGGAGUGUGAGAGAGAGAGAGAGAGAGGGUGGAACGGCGGGACGGAGGGAGGGAGGUACAAAGUCAUUCCUGUGAAAAACCGGGAGACUGGCACGAAAGGAAGAAGGAUAGAAAACAGGGUGGGCUGGGCAUGUGCGCGUGCGCAUGCGCCAAAACAGAUGCGCGGGAUGUGGACACACACCGAGGGGCCUGCGAGGCCCUUGGAGGCUGCGUCCUCUGCGCCCAGGCAUCCUGUCUUCCCCCAGAUGCAAGCGGCUGGAACUUCGCUUCGGAAGAGCUCUGGGCAGUGAAUCAACAUAGCGUUUACUCUCGUGUUCUGAGUUAGAAUAGUCUUUGCUCUGGAGUGGAUAACCAUCCUGAAAAAUCUAAAACAUAUUUUUGAUUAUUUCAGAAGGCCCUUCUGCACCCUGACUUCAAUUUCCAGCCUGAUGGAGGGUGGAGGGCCUGGAAUCCUGGUGUUUCCUCCUUCAAUCCCAAGUCCUGCUUCAUGUGGUCCCAGGAAGAGAGGAGAGUGUGAUUUUUAUUUGUGGGGGAGGGCCUUGGCAGUUCAGGGGUCCCACAGGCUGCAGAUAGGGUUGCACUAUUGUGCAUUAUAGAUUUCUAGAACUGAAUAACAGUUGCUGUCUCCAAAGAUGAGAUGGGACAAACAGCUCCUUGUUUCCCCCCCCCCCCCGAGGAAAUGACAGGUCUGUGUGUGUUUGAGGGUUCAAGGGAUGUGUUAAUUGGAUUGUAACUCUCGGAAUAUAUAUUUUUGUUCAUUUGAAUAUGUUAACUCCCAAGUUGUGUUACUGUAACCGUGGGGAAGCAAUGGCCUAGGGAAUAAUUCAAGGCAGCAGAUAAUCCCCAAACCCUUUAUGAAUAUACUUGAAAGGUCAUGGGACGGGCUUUGCUAGGUGCCUGCAGGCUUCUCUGGGCCAAGAGGAGAAAGUCAUUAAGGGCGACAAAGCUCCUCUUAGCUCCACACCAGGACAGCCGUAUAGAUCGGAGGCAGGAAAUUGCAGGCAACAUGUCUGGUCAGGUGGAAAGGCAGAGAGGCUCGAAAGGGCCUCAGGGGCAGCAUGCUACUGCAAGGCUAGCAAACGUGUUGAAAGGCCAAGGGCACAGAGAGUGGCAGGAUGAAGUGUGGAUUGAGAGAGGUUAGAAAGCAAUAGAAACUCCCAGCUGACCUUGCUCCGGAAUUAGCCAAAGCACCAGCCCAGAACUGCCUGAGCACUGGAAAAAAAUCGUUAGGUGAGAAUUCAAGUGGAGAUUUGUCAUUCAUAGGCUGUGUGAAUUUCCCCUUCCUGUGUCAGUUUCCUAGGGGAGUCAGCUCAAAUGGUAAAUGAUUAUUUCAUUUUUCACAAAAUCAUAAGAAAAAAUUGAUAAAAGUGUAAAAAUUAUAAUCCUAUCUUGUUAAUAUAAUACAUAUUUUUUAUGUUUGU